rnacentral:rRNA from 1 species
UACGUAGGGUGCAAGCGUUUGUCCGGAUUUAUUGGGCGUAAAGAGCUCGUAGGCGGUCUGUCGCGUCGGAUGUGAAAACCCAGGGCUCAACCCUGGGCCUGCAUUCGAUACGGGCAGACUAGAGUAUGGCAGGGGAGACUGGAAUUCCUGGUGUAGCGGUGAAAUGCGCAGAUAUCAGGAGGAACACCGGUGGCGAAGGCGGGUCUCUGGGCCAAAAACUGACGCUGAGGAGCGAAAGCGUGGGGAGCGAACAGG